rnacentral:lncRNA from 1 species
GCUAAUCAUCUUGCUACAGUGUUAACGGUUUAGGGAAUUAGGUAAUACGAAUUAACCUAAUUCUUUCCCCUUUUUUCACUUGAUUCUUCACCGUCCGGCGAGCUUCUUCCUCCGGACUUCAGGUGCUCGCUCAUACGUCCGAUACAGGAGCGCGCCUCCAUUUUAACAUCCUCCAUAUUUGAUAGAGUACUUUAUUGCUGGAAUGUCGACAACACAGAGGAGUGAAGUCAUGAAUCAUUUGGUUAAAAUAAGAGUCAAGUCUUCAUUUACACUUUACGAAUUUAUUAACUCUCUUUCGAAACUAUAUUAUUAGAGUACAAAUUAUUAAGGACCAUGAGGAUACUUUCGUUCCUCCACAUAUUAUUAAUGACCUUCUGAUAAAGGUUGUCUAUUGCACAAAUAUACUUCAGAAUUUUUCAGACUUGACCAAGCACAAGUUCUGUAAAGUCUGAAAUAUUUCAUCCGCGCCCACACUCUCAUGUUUGUCCGAAAAGUUAUGAUUGUACGUAUUCAUGCAUGCAGAGAUUAUUACUUAUCAUGUUUAAUAAUAUGCUACCGAAAGAGUUUAUCAAUAUUACCACCGAAGUCAGUCGUUUUUUCACCAACAUAUGUUCUCCAACACUCAAAGAAAAUAAAAUGAAGAAACUUGGAGAGUCCAUUGUGGAGACGAUUUGUAGAUUGAUCAAUCUUUUGUUCAUUGACCCGAUAGUGUCUCCUUCUUCCAUGACGAAGUUCUCGAAUUCCCGAUGAGCAUAUAAGAGUUUGUUUUCUCUUACAUGAGAUGUGCCUUCAUGAAUGGAUUCCAACUGAUGCCAGAUUAAUUUCAUGAGCUGUAUCGAAGACACGGAUAGAGUUGUACUCAUAUUCAUCUAAUGCGUCAUAUAGUGCAUUCAUAAUUCUUGCAUUGAAUCUCCAGUUCUGUUUGUCUAUGGUAGUCCAUUUGUCUUUUUCAGUAGUUGGAGCUUCAUAUUUUUCUUGAGUUAUCUUCUAUAUUGCACUGUACAGAGACAUCAGAUGUAUCCUCAUCUUUUUCUUUAAGAAAUCAUACCUCGUUCCAUCAAAGAUUGAAAGUUUGUUUGAUGCAAUAUGAUGUCAUAUUAACAAUAGAUGUAACCUUGUUAAUAAUUUACUUGGCUCUGAUACAACUUGUAAGAUCGUGAUCAGAGGCUGGAUCGAGAGAGGGGGUUAUAGUCUCUUUUCGUGAAAUCUCAGUUUAGUGUGGAAACAUUGAGAUCUACAAGUUGAAGAUAUAGGAUAUACUUUUGUGUAUUGGAAUUUUCACUUUCAAAGUCAACUUAAGUGUAUAAAUAUUAAGUUUCCUUAUGUGUGAUUACCUUCAAGGUAAACUGUAGUUUAUAGUUUAUUGUAAAUACUAGGUUUAUUUGUUGUUUUGUACCUUCAAAGCCCAUUGUAGUAUAUUGUUUGGUACCGAGGUCCGUCCUCGCCCGAGCAACGUGCCAGGGCCGGCGGAAACCCAGAAAGUCUAUGAAGGAAUCUUAUAAGUACCUACCCUGGUCCAACAGAAGAGGGGGUUGACAGUUUAGAGAGAAAGUGCCAAGAGUUGUGUGUAUGAGCAUCCCAUUAUGAGCUCAUACAUGAUCAGUGGUAAACCUGAACAAAGCAGCCGGCAGAAGGAGGAGGAUGGCUACGGGAAGCGGUUACCACAGAGGAGAGAGAUCGAGGCAUCGUGCAGAGAGAUGCCGCGAGCCGGAAAGGACCCCAGAGGUGAUAAAAACAGCGUGGUCGGACGCAUUGGAAGAGGACCCGGACAGAACCGAGCCCGACCUAUCACACAGGAGAGAGCAGCUCUCCAAGGCACUUAAGGCCCGGGAGGAAACACGACGCCUAGAGGAGAAGUAGCGCACGCAGAGGAGGCCAAGCAGGUACCCGUCUCUCACUGAGAGGAGGGAGAAGAAAGGACACGACGAGCGUCGCCAAGAAAGACGUACCGGAAAAGAGGAGAGACGGGAGAACACGAAGCUCACCGAGCUGGUCUCCGCCCUACAAGAGAGCCAGCGACAACUGCAGGAGAAGGUCCUCCAACUCACGACCGAAGCCACACCCUGGAGUCAGAUGGAGCAGGAGGUGGAUAGCCCGGGAGCGACGCGGCCCUAAUGGUGCAUGGGGCCAGAGGGGAGGCCCUGGCACAAUACCUGUUGGACGACGAAUACCCGCAGGGCGCUCACGGGCGACGCAAUCGCAUGGUACAGAACGCUCCCAGCGGGGUUCGUCCACACCUAUGAGGACCUGGAAAAGACGUUCAAAAAGGUUUUCGCACACCAAGGCCCAAGUACAGAGCUACCCUCAAUGCUACUAAGCAAGAGGAUUUCGAAAGCACGCACGAAUACAUGGACCGGUUCGCGAGCGAAAUCCAGAAAAUCGAAGGGAUACAGGAGGAAAUGAUUCUGUACGCCGUCAACGUGGGCCUAAGGCCCACCUUUUUCGCAGGGGACCUCAUGAGGAAACCCCCAAGUACAUUUACGGAGGUCAUGGAGAGAUCUCAUGGGGAGUCCAAUGUGGAGGAUUACCUUAUGGCCAAAAUACAGGAUCAUAAGCGCCAAUAGAAGCAUAAAGGCGCCCCACUUGGGGGAGGGGGACAAUAGCAGCAAUCGCAGCCCAAGCCCCCGAAGGCGCCACAGGCAACGAUAUGCAAGGAAAGCGCGCCUGGGGGCGGCGGACGACGGGAGUUCGACGGGUCACUUGAAAGAUCUUGGCCGAACUCGGGUCAGGCAGGCCACUUGAAAGAAACGAAACCUUGAUAUUUGGAGGGAAAUACAGAACAGAGGAAUGGAGUAGCAGAGGAAGCGAGAACCAAAAGAUAGUCCGGGAAGAAGGAGAAGGUACGGGAGACGGCGUGGCAAUCAAGAGCUUCAAUGGGAAGAUAUACACCCAACCGAGAAGUACUACUGGCCAACACGCAACCAAGGACGGAGGACAGGGAAAAGAUUCCGCGAACCUUACUAUCCAGCGGACGAUGGAUGUCAACUACAAAGAAAAUGCGAUUACAGGUCACGGAGGCGAUGGGAAGGCGUACGGCGGGGAAGGAAACAAUAAUAUAUUAUAGGCGGAGAUGGAAGUAGGCAACGCACGUGGUACGAUCACCAACCCGCUCACAUAGGAUGGGUACGACAGCGGUCAAAGGAUGAACAAUGGUCGAACUCAAUUUGAAGCCAUGCUAGAUGAAAUCAAUGGACAAAUCAACCAGGAUGGGUCCAAAUCCAACUCAUGUGCGAACCAAUCUACCAAAUUGGGUGGACAGCUGGAUCAAUUUAUUUCCAAAACAGGUACGGAUCACUUAGCCAAAUCAACACCACAUGGGAGUGAGCACAUUGGGGUCAGACCAAACAGAAACAGAAACCAGGCUAAGUCAACGGGAGGAUUUAUAAAACCAAAUCAACCGAGCCUGCAUCAAUUGGGGUUCGACCAAGGGCUGAUUGAUAUCCAAAUUAACUCAGGCUAUGAAAUUCCGAAAAAGACCCUGGACAAAAGAGAUGGACAAAGGGUAGAAAAUUCAAAGUUCUUUCAAUUAGCAAAUUAAAGGAGAAGAAACUAAAAAGGGGUAUCAGAUCCAAACGAAAAAGUCCGACCCGAGUAACGACCCGACCCGAUAAUUUCAAGAAGAUGCAAUCCAACAGCGCCGACAUCGGAAAGAUCAUCGUCGGGAAAAGCGGAAUGCCGAUCAGAACUGCAAUCUAUAGGAACGUCCGGAGAUCCGAAGAUAAUGCGACGAUCCAACAUGGAGGUAAGAAUGAGAAGGAUCACAACACCCGACGAAGGGUGUGAUCAACAAUAAUCGAUAACCAAGGAUACCAAAACGACUUAUGGUGAUUGAAGAAGGGGAUAUAGGGGCGGAGCGAACCCUCUCAAACAAAAGAUAUGGAUGAGGAACCGAAGAGAGGAAAGGAGGGGGGCAGAGUCGCAAUCUCUCCCCAUCAGUAGAAACAAUAAGGGAGAGGAGAGCACGAAGAUGCAACCGUGGGGAUGAGCCACACGGGACCGCGGGUCUAUCGGUUGUGGUUGAGGCAUUAUAAGCUAUCCAAAGGAAGUUGUAGGAACAACUCCUAAGGUGCCUAACAGAAUGCCAGAACACCCUCGAGUUAGACGGGGAAAACGUGAUGAACAGUGCAGAUGGAGGCACAUGAACCCUUGGCUUGGCAACGUAGGGUGAGGGAAAGCUCUGGCCACACACCUACUCGCAGGGGAAUACCCAAUAUACUAGAGGGCAUCAAAAAUUCAAAUGUACAAAGGAGACACGGACCCGGAGGACUACCUACACUCCUUCCGAACAGGUAUAGAGGACUAGACUCCACGUAGGGACAUCUGCUGUCGGAUGUUCCGAAAGACCCUCAUCGAGGAUGCGGUAGGAUGGUACAAAGGUCUCCCGGUGGUUAGCAUUCAUACUUACGUCGACUUCAAAAAAGCAUCCAGGGUAGCUUUUGCCCACCAAGUUAGACGAAAAAAGUGAAAAUCACCCUACUCGGCGUCAAGUAGGGGGACAACGAGACUAUCCACGAUUACAAUGAACCGUUUUGCGGGAGCGGUCCAGAAGAUAGAAGGCAUCCAUGAAGAAAAUAUACUCUUGGCACUUAGUAACAGUCUGAGACUCACCUACUACGUGGGAUCCCUCGUAAGGGACCCGGUGAACUCGUUCGCAGGGGCAAUGGAAAGGUCCACAGAGAGGCGAACGUAGAAGAAUAUUUGGAACCAAAAUUCAAAGCCUUCAAACAACAACCAAAAGGAGGAGGCAAAAAAAUAAUUGCCAAAAGAGAGAAACAUCCAACGCCCAACCUAAGAGCAUGAAGGAGGAAACACGAUCGGGGGUGAAGCCGUAUGAGGGAAACCCACAAGGAGGGUACCGCAAGGAGGCAGGACCCGUGCGAACGGGGCAUGCCUAAAUAUGACCAACCCCUGAGAUAAACCAACGAUAGGUAUUCCUUACCUUAAAGGGAAAAUGUACCCUACCAAAAGAACAUCCUAUGUGGAUCGAAUCCACCGCGUACCAAGAAAGCAAGCUGAGAUCGGCGCCCAACGCUUCGUCACCACCAUACGCUCUAGGAGGAAGGGCGGUGAUCAUCCCCACAGGGCACAAAGUCCCAAAACAAGAAUUCCGAAAGGAAUAAAGCCAAGAAAAGAGAAAGUAGAAGCGGUGAAGGCCAUAACCUCACCACGAACCAUAAAAGAAGUCCAACG